GUCCUCUUGAUUAUAUUUUGAGGUCUGGCCUGCUCACUGACAAGUUUUAAAGAGCCGCGGUAUUUUGACCGUGCAAAGGUAGCAUAAUCAUUAGUCUCUUAAUUAGGGGCUGGAAUGAAUGGCUUGACGAGAAAUUAACUGUCUCUUAUUAAAUAAUAGAAUUUAACUUUUGAGUUAAAAGGCUUAAAUUUUUCUUAAAGACGAGAAGACCCUAUAGAGCUUGACAUUUUAUUUUAAUAUAAUUUUUAGAUAGUUUUUUUAUAUUUUAAGAUAAUGUUUUGUUGGGGUGACAUGAAGAAUAGAUAAACUCUUCAUUAUAAAAUCAUUGAUUUAUGUUUAUUUUGAUCCAUAAUUUAUGAUCAUAAGAUUAAGUUACCUUAGGGAUAACAGCGUAAUUGUUUUUGAGAGCUCAUAUUGACAAAGCAGAUUGCGACCUCGAUGUUGGAUUAAGAAUAAUUUUGGGUGCAGGAGCCCAGUAAUUAGGUCUGUUCGACCUUUAAAU
rnacentral:rRNA from 1 species